GGGUAGCGGCCCGAGAGGUGGGGCGGAGUCUCUCCCGGCUGCCCCGCCCCGCCCGGCUGGAGCGACUUCGCCCCUGGCGGGAGGGGGCGGAGGCUAAGGGCCCAGCCGCAGGAAGCGGGCGGACGCGUGCUCGGGCCAGUACCACUUCGGCGGGCCCCGUCCUGGGAGCAGAGUGACUUUCGCUCGCUUUGAGCAAGCUGUUCCAGAUGAGAGGGGCCCCAUCAAGCUCCUUCCCUGCGAACUACGCUCAGCACCUCAGCAUCAAGCCGCUGUAGCUUUGGACUGUGUCUGUGAGCAUCUGUGCUUGUAUCUGGAUUUAUUGGGUGCAUCUAUUAGUAAGAUGUGUCCUAAGAAUAGCCUAAGAGAAGCUGUAUUUUGGGUCUGGGAAUGCUGAAAAACUUUUCCACAGAAAUUAAUGGUAAUUGCUUCUUUGCUUUCUGCCAUUUUGGUUUCAUAGGAACACUCUACUUUGAGAAAGCAUGAGAAACCUGUAGUACCCACAUCACUCGGCUUUGUUCCCCUCUAGAAAGUCACCAGUGACAUGCAGAUUGCAAAUCCACUGGCCUGCCCUCUGUUCUUGUCCUCACUGACUGCUCUGUGUUACUUGACACUGGUGACUAGUCUUUCCUUGAAAUUUUAACCUCCUUUUGGCUUUAGAGCCCUCUGCUUUCAUCACCUCUCUGUCUUUGAUCUCUCUUUCUUAGGCUCUUUCACUAUACUUUUUCUCCUCUCCCUUUACAUGUGAUUCCAUAUGCUGAUGAGCUUUUAUUCAUUUAUUUUCUCUGUGCAGACUCCCUGUUACCUGUAGCUGAAGCCUGCUGGGUCUCUGUCACUGUUCUUAACUCUCUUCAGGUCUCCACAUGUUUUAUUUCCAGCCACUUGUGGGGUCUCAACCACCUGGAUAUUCCAAAGACACCUGCCAUUCUUCACAUCUAAAAUGAGAAUUCGUCAUCUUUUCUAACCAUCAGUCUAUCCCCUCCUUCCCAUCCAGUUUCUUCUUCACUCUGAAUCUCACAUCUUGAAUUUGGGUCUUAUGGUGUGUUGCAAAAGCUAAACAUUUAAGGGCUUUAGAACCAUAUUACUAUGCUUAUACAGGGCCCACCUGAUAAACAUUUCUGCCAUGGUACAAAAGACUCUGCGAGAGGUCUAGAGGAAUGUAUAAACCUUAUGGACCUUGUGAGAGGAAGCCAGCCAGCCAGCUGUGGAGCUGCUCAGGCACCGCAGAUCACUCCAGGGGCCAGUGGCAGAAGGACCUUCAGUUGAGGUGACUGUACUAUUCUAGUAGCCUCACUGCCAGAAGUUUCUACUACUGUAAGUAGAACCAUGAAGAUGUGGUCAGAGACCUGUUAUGCUCCGAGGAAUGCCUUAUUGUAGUUCACACUGACUUCAGUUACUUGUAUAAACUGGACUUCCUUGGUAUAGAAAGGUCCUAAAAACUGUACCCAAUUAACUUUGUAUCACGCUUUCCAAUUUAUAAUGCACUCACACACAUAUUAUUUAAAAAAAUUUUUUUAACGUUUAUUCAUUUUUUGAGAGACAGAGAGACAGAGCGUGAGCAGGGAAGGGGCAGAGAGAGGGAGACACAGAAUCCGAAGCAGGCUUCAGCCUCUGAGCUGUCAGCACAGAGCCCAACGUGGGGCUUGAACUCAUGAACUGUGAGAUCAUGACCUGAGCCGAAGUCGGAUGCUCAACCGACUGAGCCACCCAGGUGCCCCUUGCACACAUAUUAUUUAAGAAAAAAGAAAUGGUGUCAGAGAAAGGCGGUCUGAGAGCACAUUCAUAUGCUGUUCUGGAGAGACUGAGUUUGACAGUCUGACCACCUUUUGAGAAACACUAGUGGUGGUUCCAAACUGAGUGUUUCUUGGAAUCACAGAGAGCACCUAUUAAGAAUACUGCCUCUGGUGUCCCCCACCUCCUAGAAUGUCUGAUUAAUUAGGUGAGGGGUAGGAUCUGUGCUCAGAGUCUGAGGAAUUUAAAUUCUACAGGUGAUUCAGCGCUAGCAGGCCCACAGACUGGCACCAGGGAACUGCUACCUGGAGAUAUAUGCUCCAUAGGGCGAGACCAUGUCACUUUGUUCAUCACCCCUAACCUGGAGCCUGGCACAUGGCAGGUGCUCAGUAUGAGUUUCUUGACUCUUUCUUACUGUCACUUUCUUUCUGCCCCCUUCUCCAUUACACUCCGUUCAGUGUUCUCUAGCACGGUACAGAGGGGAAACAUCUGGCAAUGAGUGAAGCAUAAGGUGGUCCUUCCUGAAAUGCUUGAGGGGACUCUAGAAUACCUACGUUCAUUGCUGAAUGUGUCUUCCUCAUACUAGAGGAAGUUUGAAAUAAAUGUUUUCUGUUCCUUUAAAAAAUGCUAUAUAUUGAUAAUAAGGAAAGUCAGUGCUUAACUUCAUCUUCGCCCUCCCUCUCAAGUAUCCAACUGGUACCCCCUUCCACGCCUCUCCUGUACUUAAUGUUUGUGCUUCUUUUCUUACCACCCAAGUGCCUGAAUCCUUGAGCUGCUUUCCCCAGACCCGCUGGCCAUCUGUUUUACAGUUAACACUGCCACCCCCCCAACUUAAAUAGUGAAAAAAGCCAAAUGUGAUCAAAUGUCCCAUUGAAUCUUCACAACAACCCUUUGAGGCUGGUGACAUUCUUACCAUUCCACAGAUAAGGAAAGUGAGAUUCAGGAUGAUUCUGACACUUCAACUGGCAAAUGGUGAUGCUGGGGUUUGAACUAAGGGUGAUAUAACUCCAGAGCUGGUGCUUUUAACCUCGAUGCAAUGAUGUAGAAUUUUAUUUAAGUGAAAUCAUGGGAUAUUCUGAGGCUAUAAAUCAUUUAUUCUCUGCAGAAAAGAAGAGGAACAUCAGUGUUCUAGGAGAGAACUUUGGUCUAUCACCGUCUAGAAUUCCUUAUUCACUUAUUUUCAGGGCUUCUUCUCCCUAAUCAUAGAAUAAAAAACCCCUGAUGCAGCCCUGUAGUUUAGGUAAACAUCGGUAAAGAUGCUCCUCAUCCUGGGGGAUAAAAAUAUUGGAAGUUGGGGGCAGUAAUGUCAUUGUUCUGAGGCUGCUGCUCCUGACUUGAUUUUUUUUUUUUUCCCCAAGAAAAUGGUUUGGUAACAUCAACAAAUGAGAGUUAGAAAAACAGCAAAUUUGUCACUAGUUGGGCUCAUUUCUGUUUCCAGUUUAUGAGGAGACUGCUUUCAUGGUUAGAUUAACUACUAUUUAAAAAUCUUACUACGGCCCCUCUGCCCUUGUGCUCUCUUCAUUCUUUUCCACCCAUUAGUCACUUUGUCCUUCAUUCGGGGUAUUUCUUUUUGACCCGUCUUAUAGUCACUGUAAAAGCAGUGCGUUCCCCAAACUCAUUUUUCCUAAGCUACAAAGCAGACUCACUGUAUGCAUAGCAUCCACCUGGGCCCUCUACCUGUUGUCCCCACAGGGAACCAAUGUGACAUUAUUUUCAUGCUACUUGCUGUGUAUGAGUAAUAAAAUACUUUAUCUCUGACCCAAGAAUCUUGUGUCUUCUGCCAACAUCCAUGAAACAGUAAGAGGCUUAUUUAUUAGCUUGUGUACGGUAAAAUCUUAGUUGCUGACACUUUUGGUGACGUGAUGGGAUGCUGGCAGAGACAAUCCUUUCUGGAAGACCCUAUGGGUUAUGUUAGUGGGCAAGAGAGGACUUCCAGGAUCUAGUAGCAAAUGCUGUUACCCAAGUGGUGAUCAAGGGGCACAGUAAGUGUCCUCCACUGCCAUCCUGUUAAUGUUUAUUUAGAAGCUAAGUGAUAAGAAACAGGGUUGAAACAAUUUACCCAAACGAUGUUUUGGUUGUGCUCACUCUCCUCGAGAGUAGAAUGAGAAAGGGAUGUUAUAUGACAGUGGGGUGGCCAAAAGUGGCUGUAGCUGCUGAGUCAAGGAAUCCCCAAAGUUUAAAUAAAUGCUGUCAACAAUAUGGAGAUAGAAACUUAAGUGGAUCAAAAACAAGUGUUGAUUUGGAUGAGCCCAAGCUGUGGGCUUGAAACUGGAAGUUGAUGCAAGGCCUUGUUUAUGGACAAGGAAUUGCUCUGUCCCUCUGCACCUCCUGACCCUUCCCCUCCCCCAUUUCCCAACUUCUGCUGCUUUCAGGAAAAAGCUGAGUAUGCUUGGGGAACUUCAAGAAGGGGGAAGCUCAAAUAUUUUUAGCUCUGUUGUGCAUAAUUGCCCAGGUUACAAUUCUGCUCAGUUAGUGGAGGGGGUUGGGGUGCUGGAUGCAAGGGUAGCUGAAGGCACUGAGGACUGUGGAGGAAGCUGCAUAAUAUGAGCAAGGAAACUGGUACCAAGCCUGUCUUGAGGAGACCAAGGAUUUAAAAAAAAGCCAUCCUCCAAAGCCUUACCUCCUCCUCUCCCAUCUGCAUCCCCUUACCUUCUGGACUUCCCUUUAUAUGCCUAUUAGGCUUCUUAAUCCAUUGGUCCAUGUUCCCAUAGUGUAGUGGUCCUCAGCCAGGGUGAUUUAGUCCCCCCUUCCGACCCUAAGACAUUUGACAAUGUCUAGAGAUAUCUUUGACUGUCACGACUAAAAGAGGGAGAGUGUGUUCUACUGGCAUUUAGUGGAUAGGAGCAGGGAUGCCGUAAAUAUCCUACAGUGCACAGGAUGCGUUCCCCAAACAAUGAUCCUACCCAAAACGUUAGUACUGCCAAGAUUGGGAUCCUUGCUGGGGGCUGGGGGUGGGGGGAGCAUCCAAAAAUCAACUGAUGGGGUUUGGACAACUUUUUCUGUGAAGAAGGAAAAUUAAAGUGACCUGGUAGGGCGGGCUUUUUGGGCUGAUUCAAUGUACUACUGUCUUUCAUUGCCGAAUGUAUAACUGAUAUUUAUGUUGUAUGUGCUUGCAUUGUGAAUACUUAGGAAGUCCAGAAGGGAUUCUUCUAUUCGAAGACUGUGGUAGAGAGGUAAUCUCUGUCUUCUUACUGGUGGUCUAGCAAAAAGAAUAUAAAAUCUGAGAAGAAAAGGAAAUCACAGCUUUAGACCGCUAUUGCACAAGUCAGAAAGGCAAUUCCCUAGUACAACAUCGCCACCUGCCGACCCAGGCAUCAAGUGCACCUCUUUUAAAAAAGCUGGGGUUUGGGAAGUAGAUGCAGCUGUUGACCUGUUGCCAAGCUCUUGUUGAAAAAGAAACAGGAACCCUCCUGCACUGUUGGUGGGAAUGCAAACUGGUGUAGCUGCUCUGGAAAAAAGUGUGGAGGGUCCUCAAAAAAUUAAAAACAGAACUACCUACGACCCAGCAAUAGCACUGCUGGGAAUUUACCCGAGGGAUACAGGAGUGCUGAUGCAUAAGGGCAUGUGUACCCCAGUGUUUAUAGAAGCUCUUUCAACAAUAGCCAAAUUAUGGAAAGAGCCUAAAUGUCCAUCAGCUGAUGAAUGGAUAAAGAAAUUGUGGUUUAUAUAUACAUUGGAAUACUACUUGGCAAUGAGAAAGAAUGAAAUCCUGCUGUUUGCAGCAAUGUGGAAGGAACUGGAAGGUAUUAUGCUGAGUGAAAUAAGUCAGAGAAGGACAGAUGUCAUAUGUUUUCACUCAUAUGUGGAUCUUGAGAAACUGAAUGAGCACUGGGUGUUGUAUGUAAGCCAAUUUGACAAUAAAUUAUAUUAAAAAAAAAAAGACCUAUAAAGACCUGUGACUCUGCAGCCUGAGGUCCCCAUUUUGGGUGGGUUAACUCAGGCUUGACAACCAAUAAGGAAAAGGCCCAAUAUAUCUCACUUGUCAAAUUGGAAAGUUUUUCCUCACUUGGAAAUUGGGUAUUUAAGGACCAAGUAGCCUGGCCCUAGCAGCAUCUCAGUUUAUAUGAAAAAGUGGUAGCUGUUGCUUUGGGGAAACUGUACUCACAUGAUACCACCUGAAGUAAAGCCCCUGGCUAAAUGGUGUCCUUAGUUCACAGAGGUGCACCUUAAUGCUGGGGCCUGGCUCACUGAUGGUCUGGCUAAGUUCAAACCUGUUAGGGGAGAGGGGAGGCUGGAGCUGUUCAACUGCUGCUCUGUAUAUGCCAUACUGAAAAUUGGCAUUGUUAUUCACUCACUGCAUAGAACUCAAGGCCAUUUUCAUAACUCUGGCCAAUAUUCCCUAUGAUGAAACAUAUUUUUUACUGACUCUUGGGAUAGUAGCCAUGAUUUAGCGGCCUGGUCUGUUAUCUGGUCCACCCCUUGGAAGACUAUAGACUGAUGGAUUAAACGACCCUGGCACCUGUGGUAGGAACAUCUGAGACUACAGAUAUACAAGGGAGGAGGCCAUAAAUAUUCUCUUUGUCGCCUAGAUCGAACACCAUCACUCAAGUCAAACAGCAGAUGCACUUGACAGGUUGUGGAUGUGACUGAUCAUAAAUGAUACUGCUGUGCCUGUGCGUCAAUAGCAGCUCUCAACAUGGAGCCCCUCUAGACAGGUACAAACACAUGGACUGGCACAACCUCACUUCAUUCUGUUACAAAAUCACGUGCUUCUCUGAUGCUUGAGAGGGAUAUGCCACAUAUAGAAAAGGAAAUUACAACCAUUCAGUGACACUGCCCAUGUGACUUAACCAAGCUAAUGUAGCAAUGUUGAUCCAAAUCAAGUUUAAUGACAAAUCCUGUUAGGAGUGACCUGUGCCUGCUUGGGUUAUAUGCUUGUAUGUGGCUAGAAAUGGGCCAAGGAAUCUCUCUCCAUUAGGGAUAGAUGUUGUUUUUUGGCUCAUCUAUUGCCUCCUGUAAUUAUUAGCAAUGACACCAAAGAUCAGCAGGUUAGUGAAAUGAAUAAUGGAUGGGCCUUAGGCUAGACUACAUCCUGACUGUCUGAAAUAGAGUCCUCUGGUCUUCCCUGGGACAGUCACCUGGGUCUAGGACUCUGGAACGCAUAUUUGAGGUCAAUACUUGAGGUUAAUUUCAUCUUGUUGUUUGGAGUCCCGAUGAUAGUAGCCUUGUGUGAGAAAUUUAGUUCUAGCCUCUGUUGGUUAAAGUAAUCAGAAUGGCCAAUAGAGUGACAUACUUUUGUGACAGUUUGCUAGAAGCCAAGACAGGUAGGGGCAACAGGUGGAUUGAUGGGGAAAACAAUCUUCCACAGGUCCUGAACAUCCCUGCACAUUUUUGCUAGGUAUGCCAAGAAUUCAAAUUCCUUCCUGACUAUUCUUUCCUAAUGCCAUUUCUCUGGGUUGUGUUUAUAGUGAACACCGUGAGGGUUGAAGUUAUAUCAAGUCAUAUGUUUGCUUCUAAAUUAUUGGGUGUGUGUGUGAAUAAUUGAGUGAGAGUGUAGGUGAACCAUAUCAUCUAAAAAUUUGUAAUUGUUGAGGCUGGGUCAUAGGUACAUGUGGGUUCAAAGUACAGGCUCUCUUACCACUUACUAUAAAAACAGUAGAUUCCCAAGUGUGUUCCUUGUUAGCAAUACAAACUCAUUGUAUGUAUUAUAUCCUUCUGGGCCCCUCUAUGUUACCCCCAUGGGAUCUGGGAUAAGGCUCAUGCUGCUUGUUGUGUCAUGAGUAAUAAAGUCCUCUUCUGUGA